GUAGGGGGAAAAUAUAACCUUUUCUAUUGAAAUCAGCACUUUUCUGAACAGUCACAAAUAUAACAGACUCCAGACACAUAAAGCGCUAUGUGUGUGAAGAGAUCCUUUAAAACCUUGCAGAGUGUAGGCCACUCUAAUUGCAUUUUUUUUUUUUUUUUUUUAAACCAAUGUUGUUUUCCUUGAUUGUAGCUGAAAUGAUUGAAGGAACAUUAUAGUGUAAGGAAUGCACAAUGCCACGCUGUGCCAAUGUGAAACGGUAGUGCUUACUUUAAAAAGCCUGCAGGAACAUGUUAUACACUACAGAAUAAAUACAUUAAGCUGUAGUUCUGGUGACUAUAGUAUCCCUUUAAUAAAAAGCAAUAGUUAAAAAUUUAGUGAGAUGCCAGAUAGGGUGAAUUGGACACAUAACCAGUGUCAUUAAGAUACAUGUUUUGCACUAGUUCAGCCUUGCAGCAAAUCGUCACUGGUAAGGUAUUCCAGUUAGUGCUAUCAACAUGACAGCAGCUGGAAUAGCAGGGAGAAAUCAAGCAGUCCAUUAAUAAAACCUACUUUAAAAUGAGUUCACUUGUAAUUUAUGUUUUGUUUUUUAGUUCUUUCCAUUGUUCACAGAGCGCAAAUACAGCACCUAGUUUACCCACCCAGAAACCAAUCGCCAAUGUAAUAUCCAGAGGUGUAACAAUCCCAUUUAAAUCAAAGAUGGCCUGUUUGUGCCAUUGCUUUGCAUUUAGGCUGGCAAAGCCCAUGUGAAUAUAGCUGUACGAAGGAUGGGGGUUCCUGCCUUAAAUAGGCAUAAAAUUGGACACAGAGGGUUACCUGCUUUUAAAGGUUUAAUGACUUUGUUUGGAGGCUUUUGAGCAAGUGAUUGUGCCUUAUAAUAGAAACAGUAAACAUUUUCUGGAGCCUUUGCCUCAUGCACAAAUAGGAAAGGAUUUAUUAAAAACUAGACUGGGUACUGAUGUAAUCUGGUUUCUAUAGCAAAGUUUAUAAAAUAAAGUAGGUAUUGAAAUUUGUAGCUGCCGUCCAGGCACAGGGAACAUUCUGAAUGUUAUCAGUGCACCAAUUUAAAAUGUUACAUUAGUGAGGAUGUAAUAUAGAAUUCUAGCUCCUAUCUGCUUAGGAUUCAAAACCUUGUGUUUUAAGGCAUACAAGUGUUAAUGGCUCUUGUGGGCCACAAACUGGUGGAAAUGGUACCUCAAAGUGGACCUCUCCUCCACAAAUGUACUUUUUAAGCUUCAGAUUAUGCAAUGUAGACCAUGCAGCGUGCUGGUAAAAUUCCCAACAUAUAUAUAUUAAAUGCAGACAUCCUUGAAUGACUAUUGGAUCUGGGAUCCUUCUUUUGUGCUGUAUACGUAUCUCCAUGGACCUACAACAGUGGUGAACAUGGCAUCCUCCUUUGUCUAAUGCAGUUGUGUGCUAGGCAUGGGUGAAGGCACACAGAUGCAGAUAUCUACUGUUGUGGCAUACAUGGUUUGUAUGUUUUACUUUGGUAUAGCGACUUAAAGGAUACUCUAAACACACAACUCUUCAGCUUGAGUUCAAUACAAUUCUGAACUUUUAGAAGUAAACCAUAUUAUACUUCCUUGACUUUGACUGUCUGUUGGAUUGCUGGUCCUGUAGUCCUAUGGAGCUAAAGGCAAGAGGCCGCAAUUGCACAGAGCACCUGCCUUGCAAAGACUUCUUAAUGAGCUGUAUUACAGCUCACAGGUAAAUCUGUGAUUGGACAGCCACAAAACAUCUGUGCUGUGUGGGCUUGCUGUAGCUGCAGAUACUAGAUCUGCAGCUAUUGCAGGAAAAUAUUAAUAUACGCCAAAAGAAAACAUGCAAAACCAACCAUUUGCAUAUUUUCCGAGUGUAUUUAUUAUUGUGGGUAUAUUUUGUGUGUUUUGGCUUAUUUUGUAUAUAUAUAUAUUUUUUUUAAGUAUUCCUUCUUUUACAGUAAAUGUUCUUCUAUACACCAAGCGCUGUAGCUAUCCCACGUUGCAGGAGAAGGAAUUUUGAUUUGAGUCCACACACAUGAAAAUGUGAAACGGUGAAUAAAACAAAAACAUGCCUGUGAAAUGCCCCUUGUUUAGAGUAAAUCUCUGUGGCAGUUUUUUUUCCUUCGUAAGUGACUGAGCUUUCUCAGCCAGUCCUGUUCCGCUCAUUGUUCCUUGUGGGAGCACCGAAUGUAUCCCAAAACUCCCUGUACAGCAGAUGGUUUUUUUUUUCUGAUAUUUAUUCAAGCUUUCUAUGUAAACCUAUAAAUUUUGUAGGUGGGAAUGCAAAUGUUUGACAUUAGGUUAUCCCAGUGCCGUCACGAGCUAAAUGUGCACAUGUAUUACAGUGUCAAUCAAAAUACAGCCAUUGUUAGUAAUCUGUGCACAUCCACAUGUCCGAUCUGAUUUUAGGACCCAGACAGAUCAGAAUUGAAAGUGUAUAAGUGUAUUAGAAAAGGUGAUUUUGCACCUCAAAUUCUGAUGCAUUUUGCAAGUGGCUGCUAGGAUUUCAGAAGUCCAUGGUUUUAAACAUCAAACAUGUGAUAAGUGAACUGGCGUACUAGGGUUUAUUCUGUUUGUGGGGCUUCUUAGUUUACAGAAGUUACUAACACAAGAUAAAAAGGUUGAUCCAUUGUUAUCGUGGGGUGUAUAUUUACCUUUCUAUUUGGAUAUUUUAGAGUUUCUGGACAUAUAACUCUUUUCAUCAUGGAAAUGUAAUUUCUAUAAAUUUCUACAUUUAUACUGUGUAUUUCCUGAUGUUUAAGUUACACUGCUGAGCUUCAAAAGAUUUGUGCUUUGUACAAAUGAAAAUGAUUUAUAUGUCUAAAUAGAAGUGAGAUAAAAUAACCUAUUAAAAUGAAGCCUCCUGGGCACUAUCCUUUUUGAAAUAUUGCAACCACACAUUGUAUAUAAUGGGUAAAUCCUCCGAAAUAACGCCGCUGCUAGCUGUUCUUUAGCAGAAAAGAAUAGUUUGGGGAUUUUUUUUUUUUUUUUAAAGAACCAUACAAAAUAGCAAAUUGCUGAUAAAUACUCACAGCCAUGAUUUAUUUAAUGUUUUACAAGCAAAUUAAGUUAGUGAUGUCAUAAAGGCCUCCUCUUGCGCUGCACGCUAUAAAGAAUGACUGGUCCUAACAUUAUUUAGCCAAUGUCUGAAAUAUAUCAUAAAACAUAAACCUGGAGGGGGGGUGCCUCUAAAUGGAACCAAGGCCAAUGCAGGUAUCUCUUCAUCUUAUUUACUGUCGGUCAGAUUUAUAAAGGUACAAGUCAAUUUAGUGCAAAAUGCUACAAUUCGUAGAAAACCCCUGAUCACUCUAGAUUUUGCAUUCCUGCUAAACAUAACUCUUAAUGUGUUCGUAGACCAAGUAAAAACAUGGUAGACUGGUAAUGUCGUGAUAUCCUAUUGACUUGAACUUUUCACUGAGAGAUCCAUGCAUUUCUGUGUAACAACCCUGCUUUGGCACCUUCAGUGAAGCUGUAGCUAGGAUUUAAUGUGGGCAAUACGUUUGGAAGACAAUCCAAUGUACCAAACCUUUGUUCUACCUCAGCCCUAUUGCCAGCCAAGUUUUUUUUAAAGGGACACUAUAGUCACCUAAACAACUUUAGCUUAAUGAAGCAGUUUUGGUAUAUAGAACAUGCCCCUGCAGCCUCACUUCUCAAUCCUUUGCCAUUUUUGGAGUUAAAUCCCUUUGUUUAUGAACCCUAGUCACACCUCCCUGCAUGUGACUUGCACAGCCUUCCAUAAACACUUCCUGUGAAGAGAGUCCUAUUUAGGCUUUCUUUAUUGCAAGUUCUGUUUAAUUACGAUUUUCUUAUCCCCUGCUAUGUUAAUAGCUUGCUAGACCCUGCAAGAGCCUCCUGUAUGUGAUUAAAGUUCAAUUUAGAGAUUGAGAUACAAUUAUUUAAGGUAAAUUACAUCUGUUUGAAAGUGUAACCAGUUUUUUUUUUUUUUUUCAUGCAGUCUCUGUCAAUCAUAGCCAGGGGAGGUGGGGCUAGGGCUGCAUAAACAGAAACAAAGUGAUUUAACUCCUAACUGACAGUGAAUUGAGCAGUGAAAUUGCAGGGGAAUGAUCUAUACACUAAAACUGCUUUAUUUAGCUAAAGUAAUUUAGGUGACUAUAGUGUUCCUUUAAAUUAACAAAGUGAAACCCUUUUCUUUUUCUUCCAUCAUUAUUGUGUUGUCUAAACAUGUUGCCAUUUAUAGUUUUCAAAUGAAAUGUCUAAUAAGCAUACUUUCUCUGGUUUUCUGUCGGGCAUCUAACAUUGUAAAGAGAAUGGUCACUCGUUCUAUGUUGGAGAGGUUAAUGAACAAUAAUAAAAACUCCAAUUGUUCCCCGUUUGUUUGUGUGCACCAGGUUUUGCGAUUGUGAAAAUGUAAUGCUUUGUGUGUCUGAUUUAUACUUGAAACAAGCAUUUCCUACAAUGUUUCCAUAUUAAGGCAAAUGUGUCCAGGCUUUUAAGUGAUUUGCAUUAUUUAACCUUUCAACCCUGUUACCUGACUUGCACAGCUAGAAAAAUAAACAAAUUCAGGGUUUGUGUGAUCUCAUGCUGUAUAGAUUUUAUUCUACAUUUCUUCAUGAAAGACUAAGCAAGAAAUAUUUAUUUACUGGUAUAUGCGAUUUACUGGGGGCGUCCUUUUUUCCGAAAAUGACCACACUAGAAUGAUGCCAAGCCAAGCAAUUGGUGCUCUGAAAAGCCCUUGGACUAUGGUCAGUAGUUUGUACAAAUCUGGUCCUUGUCAUUUCAAACACUCACCCUUUUGUUUAACGAACACAAUUUUGUUAAGAUGGAUUCUUGAAUGUCUAUCACUCCAUCCAUUUCUGUACCAUUCACUGUGAGCUCUCCUUGUUGAAGAUGGGGUAAGAUCGGGAUUGUGUGGUUAUAGCACAAAUCCUCAUUAUCCAGAAAUUUGUUGAUGGUGAAGGAUAUUAAGGGGGAGACCUGUAGGUAUCACUCCCUGUGAUACAGGCAUCCAAUUGACACAUCCUAUAUGAAAGAACUCUUAAAUCUCACCUCGUAUCUGCCUGUUGCUAGUGAUGUAAGCUUAAACUAAUUACCCAGCUGUCCUGUCAUUGCACACAUUACUGAAAAUGUACAUAAAUUCAAUGUAAAUUCUAUAGCUUGCCAUGUUUUUUUUCUUUAUAUAUAUAUUUUUUUUUAAUCUGAUGUCCCUGCCAUUUUCUUUUGCCUUUGUAGGAUUUCUGAAUUGUGAUAAUUCUGUAUUUAAGAGAAUAUUUAAAUGUAAAAAUAAAUGAAACUAUGCUGACACUUUAUGAAACUUUUCUCUUUGAUUAUUCCCCCCCUCCCCCCCCAGGUAAAUGAUUUCUAUUUAG